rnacentral:rRNA from 1 species
UACGUAGGUGGCAAGCGUUGUCCGGAUUUAUUGGGCGUAAAGAGCGUGUAGGCGGCCAGGUAGGUCUGGUGUGAAAACUCGAGGCUUAACCUCGAGAUGUCAUCGGAAACCAUCUGGCUAGAGUCCGGAAGAGGAGAGUGGAAUUCCUGGUGUAGCGGUGAAAUGCGCAGAUAUCAGGAAGAACACCAAUGGCGAAAGCAGCUCUCUGGGACGGUACUGACGCUGAGACGCGAAAGCGUGGGGAGCGAACCGG